rnacentral:rRNA from 1 species
AUACCGGCGGCUCGAGUGGUGACCACUCUUAUUGGGCUUAAAGGGUGCGUAGGCGGAAUGGUAAGUCAGUGGUGAAAUCCUGCAGCUCAACUGUAGUUGUGCCAUUGAUACUGUCAUUCUUGAGUACAGAUGAGGUAGGCGGAAUGAGUAGUGUAGCGGUGAAAUGCAUAGAUAUUACUCAGAACACCAAUUGCGAAGGCAGCUUACUAAACUGACACUGACGCUGAAGCACGAAAGCGUGGGUAUCAAACAGGAUUAGAUACCCUGGUAGUCCACGCCGUAAACGAUGAUUACUGGUUGUUUGCGAUACACAGCAAGCGACUGAGCGAAAGCAUUAAGUAAUCCACCUGGGGAGUACGUCGGCAACGAUGAA